rnacentral:siRNA from 1 species
GCGGACAUGCAUCACCAGUGUUCCA